rnacentral:rRNA from 1 species
GACGAACGCCGGCGGUGUGCUUAACACAUGCAAGUCGAACGGUAAGGCCCUUCGGGGUACACGAGUGGCGAACGGGUGAGUAACACGUGGGUGAUCUGCCCUGCACUUCGGGAUAAGCCUGGGAAACUGGGUCUAAUACCGGAUAGGACCACUGCCUGCAUGGGUGGUGGUGUAAAGCUUUUGCGGUGUGGGAUGGGCCCGCGGCCUAUCAGCUUGUUGGUGGAGUGAUGGCCUAGCAAGGCGACGACGGGUAGCCGGCCUGAGAGGGUGACCGGCCACACUGGGACUGAGAUACGGCCCAGACUCCUACGGGAGGCAGCAGUGGGGAAUAUUGCACAAUGGGCGCAAGCCUGAUGCAGCGACGCCGCGUGAGGGAUGACGGCCUUCGGGUUGUAAACCUCUUUCAGCACCGACGAAGCGCAAGUGACGGUAGGUGCAGAAGAAGGACCGGCCAACUACGUGCCAGCAGCCGCAGUAA